rnacentral:lncRNA from 1 species
CAGUAGAUUCUACACUUUAAAAUAUUGCGGUUUAAGCCAACUUGCUUUAAUAAAAUGUUGAUAUUAAGAAUUAUACAGGGUGUUGAAAUUGCAAUUUUAAAUUUUUUUGCUAUAACUUUCAUGAAUGUGGACAUUUACAUAUAAAAAUUUAUGACUGGAGGCUUCUGAGUAUGUGCAAUUAUAAUUUGAUACAUACAUUGAUGUAGCUUAUAUAGGCCGCCACAUAUGACACGUAUAUGGCAUAAAUUUUGGGCUUAACUUUUUUGUUUUUCAAGUUAUCGCUAUUUGUGUGGAAAAAAGGUAAACUUGUUAAUAACUUUAAAACUCAACAGUUUUCGAGCUAAUCGCAUUUUUCAAAUCAGCCAUGCGAGUUACCCUUGUAAUUUGAAUGGCGAGAACUAUUUACAUUUUUUACAAAAUGACCUUAUUAAUUUGUUGGAAGAAUUGUCAUUAAACUUAAGGCAACAUUUGUGGUUCAUGCAAGAUGAUACACCCCCACAUUAUACGAGGGCAGUGAGAACAUACCCAAAUACCGAAUUUCCUGAACGCUGGAUUGGUCGUGGUAGUCAUUUUCGUUGGCCACGACGUAGCCCAGAAUUUAAUCCGCUCGAUUUUGGUGUAUGGUGGUGUAUAGGGAGUAAUGAAACAACGUGUUUACAAAAAUCCCAUAAACACUCGCAACCAACUUUUUAGGAAGAAAUAAAUAAUACAGCAGUUUGUUUUGGUAACGUAUUUAGUUAAUUAGUAUUAAGGUGUAAAUAGAGACCCAAAAUUUUGGGUACAUUAAUACUUUCUACACGGGACACUACAUACUUAAAAGAAAAACGUAAUAUUUUUAGUUUCUCAUAUAUUGGUGAGUUUCGGUACAUUUUAAUUUUUUUGAGGUAGGUAACAUAUUUAGUUAAUUAGUAUUAAGGUGUAAAUACAGACCCAAAAUCUUGAGUACAUUACUAUUUUCUA